GACAGAGGGUGCAAACGUUGUUCGGAAUUACUGGGCGUAAAGCGCGUGUAGGCAGCUGUGCAAGUCGGGUGUGAAAGCCCUGGGCUCAACCUAGGAAGUGCACUCGAAACUGCAAAGCUGGAGUCCUGGAGAGGAAGGCGGAAUUCUCGGUGUAGAGGUGAAAUUCGUAGAUAUCGAGAGGAACACCGGUGGCGAAGGCGGCCUUCUGGACAGUGACUGACGCUGAGACGCGAAAGCGUGGGGAGCAAACAGG
rnacentral:rRNA from 1 species